UACGUAGGGUCCAAGCGUUAAUCGGAAUUACUGGGCGUAAAGCGUGCGCAGGCGGUUCGUUAAGUCAGCUGCGAAAGCCCCGGGCUCAACCUGGGAAUGGCGGUUGAAACUGGCGAACUUGAAUCUGGCAGAGGGGGGUGGAAUUCCACGUGUAGCAGUGAAAUGCGUAGAGAUGUGGAGGAACACCGAUGGCGAAGGCAGCCCCCUGGGCUGAGAUUGACGCUCAGGCACGAAAGCGUGGGGAGCAAACAGG
rnacentral:rRNA from 1 species